GGCGAGUUGGCCGAGUGGUCUAAGGCGCUGGUUUUAGGCACCAGUCUCUUCGGAGGCUUGCGUUCGAAUCCUACUCUCGUCA
rnacentral:tRNA from 1 species